UCACGCCCUGGGCCAAAGGCAGGCGCCAAACCGCUGCGCCACCCAGGCAUCCCUCACCGUAGAUUUCUGAUGUCUGAAGCUUGGCAGAGCAACCCACUUCUGAAGGGAGUGGUACUCUCAAGUUUUUCUGGGAAAAAGAAAAUGCUCUGCUAUGUGUCCACAUCCCUGACUUACCGUUAGCCUUUGGAGAGUGUAGAAGGAGACCUUCAUGUUUCUCUGGGCUCCAUUAUAAUGAGGAACAGAAAUUACAAGAGAAGGUAGGAGCUCAUUCGGACCAGGCAAGAUGACGUCCAGACAGAGAAAGCUGGGAGUAGAGAUUGCUCAUUGUACAAAGGGACACAUGGCUGCUCUUCUCUGUGAGGUCCUCAGUGAUGAGAGAGGCUGGCAGGAGAUCAGCCUUGCCCUCCAAGAACAGCUCACCCCACGGGCCACACUAAUAGGAAACCGGCUCGAACCCAGAAGCUACCAGAGCAGAGGCAAGCAGAUCAAGCCAUUGUGAGGACACGCCUGCUUUCCACCAGUGACAAGCAGCCACUUAUUUAUGGUGACCUCUGCUAGCCCUUUUGUUCUCCCUCUCCCCUCCUCAUGAGGGGCACAAGGCCCAGAAAAGAAAAAAGGAGGGGUAAAAGGAGGUACACUGAGGCACCAUCGACUUGCCUAAAUACAGAGCCUAGAAAUUUCGGAUCUGAGAUGCUGAUUGUAGCGAUUUCACUCAUCACUCCCAUCUAGGGAAAACCCAUUCUGCUUGCCUUCACCGCUCUCACUCAUGAUGCUUUCCACACAUUUUGCCUAUGUUCGGGGUUUCAUCCAUUUCCCCAGGCCAUUUUGUCAACCCAUCUCCUAGUGCCACCAGAACAGCUCGCCUGCUGCCAUGGAGGUGGAUGAAGAAAGGGGCACUGUGGGCAAACAUUAAUCGUCAGCAGGUGAAAUGUUGAUCGGGGCUCACGGAACCAUGUCCAGGAGAAAGGAGGGGAACGUUUUUUGCUACUCCUGGAGAGAACCCACAUUUGACACAAGCUCCCUGCCCGGGUUUUCGAGGUACACCUCUGGAUACACGGCCGGAGGGCAGAGGGCAAGUAGUCAAGCCCAGGUCUGUCUGAUGGCCGGUCUCCCAGAUUAGAAAUCUUCAGAGUCCCGUUCUACCCUCUUCAAUGUGCUUCGUGACCUGUAGGGUCCCUGCAGCACCUGCUGUGUUCCCCAGGUGGCAGGGCCGUGUCUGACAUGCAGUGCCGGAGCACCAAAUCUGACCUAGCAUGACGCUGCAAGAAUUUAUUUGAGGGACGCCUGGGUGGCUCAGCAGUUGAGCAUCUGCCUUCGAAGCUCAGGUCAUGAUCUUGGGGUCCUGGGAUCGAGUCCCACGUCAGGCUCCCUGCAGGGAGCCUGCUUCUCCC